rnacentral:rRNA from 1 species
AGAGUUUGAUCCUGGCUCAGGAUGAACGCUAGCUACAGGCUUAACACAUGCAAGUCGAGGGGCAGCAUCAUCAAAGCUUGCUUUGAUGGAUGGCGACCGGCGCACGGGUGAGUAACACGUAUCCAACCUGCCGACAACACUGGGAUAGCCUUUCGAAAGAAAGAUUAAUACCGGAUGGCAUAGUUUUCCCGCAUGGGAUAAUUAUUAAAGAAUUUCGGUUGUCGAUGGGGAUGCGUUCCAUUAGGCAGUUGGCGGGGUAACGGCCCACCAAACCAACGAUGGAUAGGGGUUCUGAGAGGAAGGUCCCCCACAUUGGAACUGAGACACGGUCCAAACUCCUACGGGAGGCAGCAGUGAGGAAUAUUGGUCAAUGGACGAGAGUCUGAACCAGCCAAGUAGCGUGAAGGAUGACUGCCCUAUGGGUUGUAAACUUCUUUUAUACGGGAAUAAAGUUAGCCACGUGUGGCUUUUUGUAUGUACCGUAUGAAUAAGGAUCGGCUAACUCCGUGCCAGCAGCCGCGGUAAUACGGAGGAUCCGAGCGUUAUCCGGAUUUAUUGGGUUUAAAGGGAGCGUAGGCGGGUUGUUAAGUCAGUUGUGAAAGUUUGCGGCUCAACCGUAAAAUUGCAGUUGAUACUGGCGACCUUGAGUGCAACAGAGGUAGGCGGAAUUCGUGGUGUAGCGGUGAAAUGCUUAGAUAUCACGAAGAACUCCGAUUGCGAAGGCAGCUUACUGGAUUGUAACUGACGCUGAUGCUCGAAAGUGUGGGUAUCAAACAGGAUUAGAUACCCUGGUAGUCCACACAGUAAACGAUGAAUACUCGCUGUUGGCGAUAUACAGUCAGCGGCCAAGCGAAAGCAUUAAGUAUUCCACCUGGGGAGUACGCCGGCAACGGUGAAACUCAAAGGAAUUGACGGGGGCCCGCACAAGCGGAGGAACAUGUGGUUUAAUUCGAUGAUACGCGAGGAACCUUACCCGGGCUUAAAUUGCAACUGACUGAACCGGAAACGGUUCUUUCUUCGGACAGUUGUGAAGGUGCUGCAUGGUUGUCGUCAGCUCGUGCCGUGAGGUGUCGGCUUAAGUGCCAUAACGAGCGCAACCCUUAUCGAUAGUUACUAGCAGGUCAUGCUGAGGACUCUAUUGAGACUGCCGUCGUAAGAUGUGAGGAAGGUGGGGAUGACGUCAAAUCAGCACGGCCCUUACGUCCGGGGCUACACACGUGUUACAAUGGGGGGUACAGAAGGCAGCUACACGGCGACGUGGUGCUAAUCCCGAAAGCCUCUCUCAGUUCGGAUUGGAGUCUGCAACCCGACUCCAUGAAGCUGGAUUCGCUAGUAAUCGCGCAUCAGCCACGGCGCGGUGAAUACGUUCCCGGGCCUUGUACACACCGCCCGUCAAGCCAUGAAAGCCGGGGGUACCUGAAGUACGUAACCGCGAGGAGCGUCCUAGGGUAAAACUGGUGAUUGGGGCUAAGUCGUAACAAGGUAGCCGUACCGGAAGGUGCGGCUG